UAGCCCUUUUGUUAUUGUUGUUUUGAACAGGAAUCUCAUUGUGUAGCCCAGGCUU
rnacentral:snoRNA from 1 species